rnacentral:rRNA from 1 species
GAUGAACGCUGGCGGCGUGCCUAAUACAUGCAAGUCGAGCGAACAGACGAGGAGCUUGCUCCUCUGACGUUAGCGGCGGACGGGUGAGUAACACGUGGAUAACCUACCUAUAAGACUGGGAUAACUUCGGGAAACCGGAGCUAAUACCGGAUAACAUGUAGAACCGCAUGGUUCAACAGUGAAAGACGGUCUUGCUGUCACUUAUAGAUGGAUCCGCGCCGCAUUAGCUAGUUGGUAAGGUAACGGCUUACCAAGGCAACGAUGCGUAGCCGACCUGAGAGGGUGAUCGGCCACACUGGAACUGAGACACGGUCCAGACUCCUACGGGAGGCAGCAGUAGGGAAUCUUCCGCAAUGGGCGAAAGCCUGACGGAGCAACGCCGCGUGAGUGAAGAAGGUCUUCGGAUCGUAAAACUCUGUUAUUAGGGAAGAACAAAUGUGUAAGUAACUAUGCACGUCUUGACGGUACCUAAUCAGAAAGCCACGGCUAACUACGUG